GUUCAUCACAUGUGCAUUUGCAACACAUUGGCGGAGGCAAUACGAACUGCAUUUCUCACUAGCUGGACAAAUCGGAAUGGCAAUGCAUCUUGGAGAACAAGACUCGAAUUGUGAAAGUCUGGUGGUUUUCGCCAAGUUUCACAGAACUUUGUUUUAUGUCAAGAUGGGCUAACACCAUGUCACCUGAUGCUGUCACUCUCUGUUCUAUCUGCAUCCCCUCUCGCCUCACACGUAAGCCUCACUGCAGUUUCUGCAGUGCUUCUGAGGGGAGUCACGGAUAAUUGCAGCUGUCAAGUGGCUAAUGUGACAACGGCCAGGGAGCUCCAGAGGGCAUUGUGUACACUCGAUGCGGUGGGGUGAAAACAAGUUUCUCCCAUGUCCUUUCCUCUUUUACUUGUGCCUGUCAUGUAUAUACACACACUGAACACCCUCCCCCCCCGACGUGGUGUGUGCGACAUCAGCAGCAGCCCACAGCAGCUGCUGGAGUGGGAAAGUCAAAGGAAGAGACAAAGAAAGCUUCACUUUAAAAUAAAAUGCGUAGAGGUUUCUAUGCUUACCCAAUGAGGAAACCCGUCCGUCACGUAAGAUGGUGGCUUUCAAGAUAAGGCCCACAUGAGCGAGCGAAUUGUAAGAUCGGGCCUGCGCAGCUGCGCCAUACGCAGCGGCGGCUGGUGUACAGUUGAUAAUGGUUUGCAUUGAGAGGAGGCAGCGUCAUCGACCACAUCUACGUAUGACGUCUACCUAACUUGACACUGUUCAAUUACGUCACGUAGAACAGCACGCAUUGGCCAAUGCUCAUCUUCCACGAAGCAGCAACAUCAUCCAAACGCACCAUGACAUAAAAGGAGUGAACAGUGCUACUACUGGCCUCUGCUUCAUACUCAUGAUGGUCUCAGUUUAACAUUUCAGUGUUGCAACUGCGCUUCUCCAUUUUAUGAUUUUUUCGUGGCAUUUCUCGCAAUUAUAUGAAACACAGCAGCAUAUGACGACAAAACAGUGAUCAGUAGCAAAUGCUUAUGCAUCAUUUAGAUAAAUCCCACAGGAUAUUCUGCAUGUAAUUUUAUCUUUUUCCACUUUCAGUAUGCUUCACCGCUAUGGUAUGCUUGACUGCGUAACAUUGCUAUGUCCAGUGUCUCUGACCCUUUCCCACUGUUGGUAUACUUCAUCACAAUGCUAAGUGCGUGGUUGAAUGUGUAACACUACUGUAUUGGGAUGAAGCUAACUUAUGGGUCUCACAUUAAACAGUUUUAAUUUGGCGUACGCUAUAUGCUAUAGUAUAGCGUAUGCUAAGCAGCGCACAUUUCUUUAGUUUAGUUGGCCUGUGAGAUGUUCGGAUCUCAGAGGCCAUGUGCCGUCAUUGCGGCUAUCUCCCGACUGUAGCUAUAGGUGGUGCUAACAUGUCGAAUGUUUCUUUCAUUAGGCUUCGACUCGUUCGAAAUGAGAAGCGGUCUCAAAAACACCACACGGUUAUCCAGAAUACUCUGUCGUCGAAGCAGCCUGAGACUAAGCGAAAGCCAUUUACACAGUCAUUUGCUAAGAACAAAGUGCAUUUUACAAAAGCAACGCCAAAUUCAAUUCGAAGUGGGCAGCCGGGCCGCCGUCAUGUUUCACGCAAACUCCACAAACCACGCAAAGACGCUAACGCUAAAUCUGAGAAAUAGAGUGCGUACACUAUACGCGAUAGGUCGUUUAGCGCUCUGCGCAUGCGCAGUGAUGACCCACUAUUUUACAGCGUACACUAAACUAAAAGUGUCUAUUAUGCAGCAUGUUUUAGAUGCUUGCUAGUUUUAAAGUCCAAAAGCCAAGAUACAACAGCGUCACACACUAUCAUGUGAGGAAAACGAACCGCUGCAUGCAGCAAGUAGCAUCAGCAUAAGCACUAGAUUACAGUCGAACAGCUCUACAAUGAAGACCACAAUGAAUUUGCCUGUACAACAAAGAAACUUAUGCGUCCCUGGCGGCUGAUUUAUGUUUAUAAAACGAAUGCCACACCAGCGCCGCCACUGCCCUGUGAAGAUUUCACCAGGGUAGGCUGUGCGCUAGUGCUAACAACAGCGUAUUUGAAGAGCGUGCUGAUAUUACUAGUCCUGCUGCCCUGCUCCAGGAUUCACUCAACUCGUAUGCUACUUGUUCUAACGCAUCAACAGCUGACGAAUGCAUGGAAAGGCCAUGAAUGUCAAUGAAGGCGACCAAAAAUUUUGACAGCAAGGGAGGCUUAGUGGCACUAGACAAUCGGGGGCUUUGCUUUGCAUGGCUCCUGCAUUUGGUUGGAGAGCAAGCUGGGAACCUCAAUGGAGCAUAGGGUGGCUACAGUAGAACAUGCUGUCAGGGAUAUUGUGCGGAGAAAAACUAUCAGACUAUCUCGUUAAGUCUUUCUUGAAUUCUUGUUAAAGAUUUUCUUUUGUUGAAAGUGCUUAGCUAUUGUGAACAGUGAGCUGCGCAACCUUUUGCACAACGUGACCUGCGUAACGAAGGAUUUUGAAGGUGCGAGCACUUUGUUAAAAAGGCGUUUGACUACAUAGAUACAUUCAGAGCAGCGCCUUCUACCCUUUAGCCCAUGCAGAAUUUGUAGGUCCUAUGUUUGUAGGUCCUAGGUUCUGCUGAUGUACUGCAGUGAAGCCUUUAAUAUGUGUCCCAAUGUCCGAUGCUGCGGAGUUUAAUAUAUCCAUUUAAUGUCAGAACAAGUUUGAUGUAUGAAGUUUCAUAUACAUGUAAUUCUCUUGGUGAUUCACCACCUGUUAUUUAAGCAAUAAUUCCAUUUAUCAUUGUUUCAUAUAACAAGGUUCAAUUGUAAUGAAUUAUUGCUAUAUGACAUUCUUUCCACUACUAUAACUAAUACUCUCAAGCUUGGAACCUCCCAGCUUCCUCAUACAGUUGGCCAAUGUGACAGCACACCUGACGCAACAAGCCAUGUCGUACACUUACUCUGUGCAUAUUCACAGCCCAUGCAAGCUUGUGCUGAAAGCUUGUUGCUGCUUGCAGAGGUAAACAUUUCACUUGACUGUUGUAAUGAUCUUGCUGACUAUGUGAUGGAAUAAACAGUUACUCCACAAUAAAACAGUAUCAGGCCAUUUUGUAAACAUUAGUUUGAAGUAAAACUGUGCCAUGCAUCGUCGAAAAAGGAAAACAACAUUACAGGGAUGAGCAUAGUUAUCGUGGGCUUGUCUCUAUAGCUUUUAUGUCUUGCUUUGUCCACAUUAUGCUGCACAGUUUUGGUUGAAGCGGUUAUUGGCUGGCAGACGUCUUCCCAACAUGUUACUACGAGUUUUGAUGAAAGCAGUCUUGGCCAACCCCUCUACCCCUGGUUCUCUGGCUUAGGUGGUGGUGCCUCCAGUGGUUCAGAUUUGAAUGGGUGCAAAUUAAUUCUCCCUCUCAGUGAAAUCAUACCAACUUUCCCAGGUUACCUGGCUUCCACAAUUCCUCCUAAGUUGGACUUGUUCAACAGCUUUACCGAGUACUUUAAGUAGGCAGUGUAUUCUAUGUCGUAGGGCAAACAGAAAAUUAGCAUAAGCACUCUUGCUUUCAGGCUACCACAGACUUCGAGUUAAUAGUGCAGUCCAGAUCAACAUGUCCUACCUUGAUCCCUCCAGCCUAUGUGCCAGCCUUCCCUAUGAGCCACUACUUGUGCAGGUGGACAUACCUUCUUUGUUCCAUGCAAAACAUUUUGUUAACUGUUUUCAGGAAAAAGUAGUUCAAGCAUAAAUGGCUAACACAUGCUCUUCAUACCAGGGUGCCAUGGAUAAUGGAGAAGAUAGGGAAGUACAGGCUAGCAUCGCUGUCCAAGAUCCAUCUGGCAGCUUCUCUGUCACAGGUCCAUGUGUCCUAACUGCUGGUCUUCAAUGGGAGUUGACACUAGGAGGUUCCCAGAUAAAAAAAAUUUAUAUCAAGAAUUUUUCACAGCAUUUUCCACGUUACCUCUGUAUGGUUGGAUACACUGACCGGUCGACACCCCUGAGAAGGCUUCCUUGCAAGCUCGUGCAGCAAGACUUGCCUCUUGCCUCUAAGCAGCAAAAGCAAAGAAAGGAGAUGAAAAGUCUGCAGCAGUCAAGGUGGCAUUUUCAAAAAGAGAAUGCUAAACUGAAAUCCGUUCUGAAAAGACAAAACACACAAUAUAUUUUAUUCAGAGAGCAGGUUUUUGUGCUUGAUAUUCUUGGUGCUGCAAAUCAGUUGUUUUUGCAACAACGAAUGGGUAAGCAGACAAGAGAACAAACACCAACAGACUGCUUGCUUAAGCAGAGAUAUUUUGCUCUUACUUUAAACUUUACUCUGAACAGGCAUACAGGUACAUGAGGAAAGUGUUUGAUGCAUGUUUGCCACAUCCUUGAACUUUAGGCAAUUGUACAAUAGCGGUAAUAGAAAAGCAGGAUUUUCCAAGGAGGGUGUAAGUGCGCUUAAGUUGCUCAAAGAAUAGCAAGCAAGACCAUCAAAAUAUGUGGAGCCUUGUAGUUCACAAGAUGUUCAUUAAACAGCAGGUAGUGUGGCAAGAGGGACAUUUUGAAAGCUAUAUGGACAUGAGCAAAGGAGCCACAGGUGACUGCUUGCCACAGGCAAAAGCUGCCUUUGUAAGAAUGGCUGUAUGCAUGAGCCACCGUAAUUGUUCACUGGAGUCUGAUCACAUGACCUAAACUCGCCACUCUGAUGUGUCUGUGUCUGCUCAAUGUUUUUCAAACCAAGCAUAACAAGUACAGCCGCAUACAGGUUGCACAGUGUAUUGCACAUUUUAAAGGAGAGUCAUGCAAGUCAUACAAGUCAUGCAACUACGUCAUACCUGCCUUGUUGAGUAGGUGCGUGGAUCACGUCUAGGGCUCACUGUCAUCUGGUAGAGAAAAACUGCAAAACUCAAAUAUUAAACAGUACCAGGUGGCACAGUUCUUUCCUUCUUUCUAACCAUGCUAUGCAUUUCAUUCAGUGGAAUUACACCAGAAUGGGCUUUUGUGUGAACUGCACAUUAUAUAUCUUUUUACAGGUUUGUCAAAUGGACAGUGUACAGGAACAUACACACAGAUUACCACAUAUAUCUGCUGGGCAAGGCAAACAGCUGAACAUUGGCCUGACAGUGACUUGUUUUUGCCUUGAGAAUGAUUAUGGGUGUGUUGACAAGUUUGGCCGGACUUGUCCUAGGAGCAUUCUUAAUUUUGAUGAUUAAAAUGAAUUUUUUGUGCCUCAUAACCGAGAAAACUUACAUAAUAGUUUUAUGAAAAACAAUAAUGUCUUCACAAAAUAAAGUAGAAAAUAAAGCAGGAGUGCCCAGUCAGUCACAAGUGCUUUUUGCAAAUUUUGCUGAACCUGCAUUUUGUUAGCCCCUAAAGAAAGAAGUGCUGUCGCUAGAGUUUUAAGAAUAUUAACUCAUUACCACAUGAAGAAUAAAAUAAUCACAAAAAGGAAACAUUGAAAAAGAUUGACGAAAGUUCAGAUUUUUGCUUCCACAUGUACAAAGAAGAUGCCUUAAAAUUUUUCCAGCCUGUUGCGAUAAGAGCCAUCAAGUUUGAGGAAAAUACAUUUGCUCUUGUCGGAGCUGAAAAUUCACAAGUGCUCCAUGUUUAGCAUGUUUGAAUUAGUGCUAUGUUAAAUACCUUUUUUCAAAAAGAAAAGCUUUCCUUAAUUUUACAAAAUUACAUGUAUUGACAUAAUUACGCAAUCUGGAAAAACGUGUUCCUAUAUUUGUUUGCUAGUGCAUUUACAAAGCAAGUAGUGUGACUGAAUAAAUGCCACCACUGCUGUGACAUAGUGUUUGUAGGUGCUUGAUGCAGGUUCUUUUCCUUUAAGACACCAGAACACUUCAUGAUGGCUCGACGAUCGCCUAAACAGAAAAUUUAUGAUUGAGAGCUUUUGGAACAUUCCUGGGCAGGGGUCGCAAAACAGUGCAUGGGUGCAGUGAGAGAAGAAUGGUGGGGCAUUGUCACGGGGUUUUAGAGGGCCUGCUCCUGAUAUCAAGCAAUAAAGUGCAUCUCUUGCAUGUGGAGAGCAUCCAAGAACAGUUUACUCUGUUGAAUGCAGAGCUAUCACUUUAUGAAUGAGAGAGAGUGUGCAGUGGAACUUGUGGCACCGAAGUGAAGUAAAAAGACACUAAUGGAAAUGAGAUUUCAUCCUCCCAGUGCCUGUUUAAAGACUUGGCCUUUCUCCACCAGAAGUUCAUCUAUUGGUUUGUGAAAUAAAUUUUUUUUUUUGCAGAACUAAGAUUCUUUUCGUUGUCCUCAACACUAGGGUGGUAAAAUACACUUUUUGAAAUCAAAAUUAAAAAUUGUCGCCAUAUGUGGCUGGCUUAAGUUAUCUGAACACACCCUUAUGCACGACAUAAAUAAGUCACACAGAUAGACAUCUUUAAUGCUGUGCUGCAACAGUAAAAUAGUAGCCUCAGAUGAGACUACACCUUUUAAUUGUUAAUAUCCUCUGAAUACAGGUGCACUUUUCAGCAGCAAUCUGAAAAGUAACGGGAGACAGAGACCAGGACUAUGUGCGCCAGCAUUGAACAGGUGCAGCAGGGUAAAAAAACGUGUUUUUGGAAUAAGGCUUCUGCCUUGAUGCCAUACACUAGGCCAUGCCAUAGGUUUGGGCAAGAAGUGGUGCCUCUCUGCCCAUUUCCUCCCGCGUCGAGAUCCAGCAGGCAGCAUGACAAUGGCGUAAUACACUCGUCUUCUGGUUUCCCUGUCACUCUCGCAAUGCGUACUGCCCUUCCCCAGACUUUAGAGUUAAGGAAAGUAUCUCUCUCUGCGGAAGAGACACUGGCUCCCUGACUUUGGCCAUCACUGGAUUCGAUGAAUACUUGCCACAACCUAUGAGUGACCCAUGCCCAACUAUUGCAAACAAGGCAAGGCUAUUUACUAUGUUUUUAGAAAGUGAACCUUCUCUGUGCAAGUGCUACUUAUUGCUCUCCAGAAUAAAUAAUAUUGUAGCUGGCACCACUGGUUACCCAAUUUGUCAAAACCCAACGUAGCUAUGAUUACCUGCAGUACGGGUUGCGGAGUAC